GACGAACGCUGGCGGCGCGCUUAACACAUGCAAGUCGAACAGAAAGGCCUGCUUUCCCUUGUGGAUUGCGGGUACUCGAGUGGCGAACGGGUGAGUAACACGUGAGUGAUCUGCCCCCAACUUGGGUAUAAGCCUGGGAAACUGGGUCUAAUUCCCGAUAGGACUGCAGGGUGGUGCCUGUUGUGGAAAACGAUUUUCUAGUGGUUGGGGAUGAGCUCGCGGCCUAUCAGCUUGUUGGUGGGGUAAUGGCCUACCAAGGCGGCGACGGGUAGCCGGCCUGAGAGGGUGGACGGCCACAUUGGGACUGAGAUACGGCCCAGACUGCUACGGGAGGCAGCAGUGGGGAAUAUUGCACAAUGGGCGGAAGCCUGAUGCAGCGACGCCGCGUGGGGGAUGACGGCCUUCGGGUUGUAAACUCCUUUCGACCGCGAGGAAGCCACCUGGUUGGAAGGGUGGUGACGGUAGUGGUAGAAGAAGCACCGGCUAACUACGUG
rnacentral:rRNA from 1 species